CCAUCGAUCCCUCAUUUUCACAUCUCUCGUUUUCCCUUCCCUGAGUGGCGGCUAGGUUAGCACAAUCGCCGCCUCAUCCCCGCACGCAACCUCUCCUUUCGGCAUCCAACCCCAUCGUCUUCUCCUACUUCCCUCUCGUAUUCCUCUGUGCCUCGACGAGGUGCGCAAGCCGGUGCACACGACAAAGGGUGGUUGCGGCUGCGGCUUCGACGCGGUCGCCGUGGAGCUGGAGUCAGAGCUGCAAUAGAAGGUGGAGUCGGAGUUCCAUCACCUCCAUUUUUACCUCAGGUUAGGCGAUUGAUGGUUUGAUUGCUGACCCCUUUGUGUUGGCUGAUGGUGGUGAGAUGAAAUAAGAAUUAAACCUGAUGCUCAGACAAUAACUAUUUGUACUAUAGAUCAACUAAACAUUGUAUUGAAAUAGCAGGCUACAUAUCUAUCUAAUAUGCAUCUGUGGUACAAGGUGAAUCUUGUUUCCUGACAGAGAACGAUAAAGAUUAGUUGGUGAUUCAAAGUACUAAAUAAAAAACACUUCUAAUGAUCUAUAUAAUGUGAAAUCUUUCUGUAUGUGUAUAUUUAUCGAAUAAUAUCAGAAUUCUUAUAUGUAGUUGCCUUCUGUUGGGUAUCUCACGUACUAGCAUGAUAUGAAGCUUCUGAAUAAUUGGUUGCAGAGUUCUCAUGUGUGUCUCGGAGUUCCAAACUUCACAUUAAUUAAGCUUAAGUUUUAUAUAUCGCUUUUGUCUUUCUAGUCAUGCAGUCGCAGGUUCUCCAUUUCAUGAUUUUAAUAGUCGACGGGGUGAGAAAUUUCAUGGCAAGAGCCAUGGUUUAUCUCGGAUGUGUAAAGGGAAAUAUAUUCAUUGACCCAAAAAUCACAUUACACUGUUGCAAUUUCUCUGUUGAAAAGGUAUGCAGAAGCCAACAGUACACAAAAUAUUUCUGUCGCCUAGAGAUUUACUGCAGUUGUCUAAAAAAGCACCCAAAUCUGAUUGAAAAAGAAAUAGAUUCUGCUAAGUUGCAUCCAUUCGAUAUUUAGGGAUGUCGAAAGAUUGUACAUAUUCAGUUCCAACAAGAAUAACAUUUAUCCCGACCUAUGUCUUUGUAGUGCCUUGACGAAAGCAAAAUUGGCCUCCCAUGCUAUGAUGACGUGAAGAAUGGGACAAUAUGCUCGAUCAGUUUCAAAUUAGAACCAACAAAUUUGAGAAAUUCAUUGAUAAGUUCUUGAUAUGGUGCUUUCCUAAGAAAGUAGGCAUACUAUAUAUUUUUUCCUUACAUACCACUAUGCUUUAGUAGUAUUGGUAUUUACUUUCUCAUUUGCAUAAUGAUAUUGUUAAUCUUUAGUUCAUUUUAGGUCAUUUCCGUUGCUUGUUAGUGUUUUUUGCUAGAGUGCUUUGCAGGCAGCUAUUUGAAAUAGAACCUUCCAGCCAUCUUACUUCUCCAAUAGUACUUUUCUUGUUGAGUGGUUGGACGGUCUCUAAAGGAAAUUCGGGACAACAAUAAACCGUACUUUCUAUGUUUUGAAACUAGAGCUAGCCAUGAUUAAUUCUUUUCAAGUUGAUAGUCUAUCGGAGUUUGAAUUUGCAUUUGUAUAACAAUAUGGAAGUAUACUAUUUCAUCAUAUUUUCCUAAAGUAGCUUAGGAUUUGUUCACAUUUGUAGAACUACACAAUACUGCACAUUCCUUCUCUUCUCCUAAUCAAUUUCAUAUCCAAUUAAGCUUUAUCCCCUGAUUAGCAUUCUGAGCUACUUAAAUUUCUUCGCUCACAUGUUUGAUUCAGGUUUUUGUUUAGACAUGACAAAUGUUUGCAAGUUAUAGACGCCAUGCCUGCCGCUGUCGGGGAGCUCCUGCCUGUGCUGCAAGCCUCAUGACCUUGCAAACUCGCUCGUGCUGCUUAAACGAUACGGUCUCUCCCUACUGAGGAUGGACAGCUUCGUGCAGAUUCACCCUUCUUUGCCUGAAGGCUCCUGUGUAUCCAGGCCCGGCACAAGGAAAAUUCUGGGAUGAAGUGCAGGAGGUACCAUGCACGCAAGGCCGCGAUCAUGCUGCAGUGGCUGGGUAUAUCGCCCCCUUCCGCUAGCUGAGGAUGGGCUCGAUGAUGGUGCUCCUACCCUUACACUGGUAUUAGCUUCUGCAUUGUCUCUUUGUCUCUUUAUUACCUUGCCUCCCCACUUAUGCUUUGAAUUUGCUCUUUGCUUGGCAAGAUUAAUGCGAGGUGUUUAAUUUAUGUUCGCAAACUGAAAAAAUGAUGCCUGGUGAGAUUUUAGGUGUAUCCACCAAUAAUAGCCUUUGGAAUAAUGUUAAUACAGUUUGCUCUUUGUUGUCCAAUACUUAUGAAUAUAGAUUGGUUACUCCACUGCAUGUUACUCCAUGUGAGGUGGGCUUAAAUUUCUCCUUCAGGUCAUGUGUUUCAAGAACAUACUUAUGGAUAAUUUGAGAUUUCUGGUCAUUUGUAUUUGGCUGCUUCAUUCUUCUAUAAAAUGCAUGUAUAUUCUCGAUUAUUGCAAUGAUUGGGUUGAUUCUGACAUAAUGUGUCUUGAAUGACUUUUCCCGUUGGGCGAUUCAAAUGAUGGAAGCCUCUUCGGACCCUUCCACCUCGCCGGCCUCUCACCACUGGAGACUCGGAUGCGAAAACCGCCACCGCCACUGCCGUGUCUGCCGGUGACGCUCACACAAGAAUCCAGAGGCAGCACCUUGGUCCUCUCCCUGAGAACAAUAGCUCUCUCAUGAUGCGGCCGCGACCCGAGGGUGGCGGGACUGACACCACCAUCCAUGCCAUGUUCUAGCUGAUCCCCAAGGCCCCUUGCCGACGUCCAACCAGCGCCACACAACCAAUGGUACUGCCGACAUGAGGACGACCACCUUCGUGUUGAUCGAGUUUUUUUACCUGAGCGUAAUGGACAAGGUCAUACGAGCAUCUGCUUUUGAUUUGCUAUGUGCUCUCUUUUCAGAAGUGUAGCUUUUUGUGUUAUAAAAUUAUGCUACCGAUUGUUGUUUGUUGAUGUUUCCCUACUUGUGUCCUGAUUAAUGGAUCUGAGGUAGUUAGAAGUCACUGAAUAACUACUUA